UCCACCAGCCUUACACACUGCUUUUGGAUAACUUUAUGCUGCUUUACUCCAGGUGCAAAAAUUCAACCUGUUCAGUUUGGUGGUUUGAUGGCUUGUGAUCAUCCAUCUUCCUCUUGAUUAUAUUCCAGAGAUUUUCAAUUUGGUAAAAUCAAAGAAACUCAUCAUUUUUAAGUGGACUCUUAUUUUAUUCCAGAGCUGUAUAUCGUGAUAUGUGUAUAUGAUUUUUGCCAUAUUGUCCAGCCCUAAAAAUUACUUUACUUGGGUUCACACUGUCUGUAAUCAAAUAAAAUAAUUUAUUAUAUUCUGAUUUGGGGUUGUACAGAAAUACACACACACAUUACCUCCUCUAUCAGAUUUAAAACAGAAGCACUUUUUCAGCAUCAGGACUCCACAGGAAAACGACCUGCUUGCGUAAUAAUGUUCAGCUGUGUUUUAAAAAAAAAAAAAAAUCAUAUUCUCAUCUUCUUGGUCGUGAGCCAGUCGGCUUUUAUUAAAAUGGAAUAUAUUUUUGAAAGAACAUACUGUAUGUGUAUUCGGGGGGUGUGGUGGGGGGGAGGGGGAGGGACUACCGUGUAAAAUCCACUUACGUAAGCAGAGGAAGGAAUGUAUUUAAGUCAUAAAGAGGAUUACUAAAACGAAACGGUCAACCUUUUAUGAAAGAAACAGCGACCCCAGCGCUGCGGUCAGCGUGUUCUACGCCAGUAUAAAUGUGUAUAAUAGCGAGUAUGUGUAUAUAUUGUAUGUCAGAAAGAUUUACUGGAAUAGAUAACUUGCCGUUUCAGAACUACAGUAUUAUUUUCUCAGAGAUUUAUUUAGUUACUGUUGUGUCAGCAAUCAUGUCCCAUACUGAGUCAAAGAUUUAUUCAAUAAACUAACAUUAAUAUUAAUAUUAAAA